GUGCCAGCAGCCGCGGUAAUACGUACCGUCCAAACGUUAUUCGGAUUUACUGGGCUUAAAGGGUGCGUAGGCGGCUCAGAAAGUAGGGUGUGAAAGCCCUCGGCUUAACCGAGGAAUUGCGCUCUAAACUACUGGGCUUGAGGAACGCAGAGGUAAGCGGAACUUACGGUGGAGCGGUGAAAUGCGUUGAUAUCGUAAGGAACACCAGGAGCGAAAGCGGCUUACUGGGCGUUUUCUGACGCUGAGGCACGAAAGCUAGGGGAGCGAACGGGAUUAGAUACCCCCGUAGUCC
rnacentral:rRNA from 1 species